GACGGUACCUUGAUCGGACGCCCCGGCCAAUUACGUGCCCGCAGCCGCGGUAAUACGUAAGGGGCGAGCGUUAAUCGGAAUUACUGGGCGUAAAGCGUGCGCAGGCGGUUUUGUAAGUCGGAUGUGAAAUCCCCGGGCUCAACCUGGGAACUGCGUUCGAAACUGCAAGGCUAGAGUGUGUCAAAGGGGGGUAGAAUUCCACGUGUAGCAGUGAAAUGCGUAGAGAUGUGGAGGAAUACCAAUGGCGAAGGCAGCCCCCUGGGAUAACACUGACGCU
rnacentral:rRNA from 1 species